GGAUUGUGACUCAGUGGUUGCACGCUUGCCUGGCAUGCAUGAGGCACUGGGUUCGAUUCUCAGCACCA
rnacentral:tRNA from 1 species